GCCCACAUGGUCUAGUGGUAUGAUUCGACAUUCGGGUUGUCGAGGUCCGGAGUUCGAAUCUCCGUGUGGGCC
rfam:Ectocarpus siliculosus strain Ec 32, whole genome shotgun sequence assembly, unassigned sequences LGTn